CCGAGUUUACAAACUCCCUAACCCCUGUGAACAUACCUAUCGUUGCUUCGGCGGAUCGCCCCGGUGCCAUCGCGGCCCGGAACCAGGCGCCCGCCGGGGACCCCAAACCCUUGAAUUAGUGAAGUAUCUUCUGAGUAAACAAGCAAAUAAAUUA
rnacentral:misc_RNA from 1 species